rnacentral:rRNA from 1 species
GGUGAACGCUGGCGGUAGGCCUAACACAUGCAAGUCGAACGGAAGCACAGUAAGCGCUUGCUCUUAAGGGUGGCGAGUGGCGGGUGGGUGAGGAAUAAAUCGGAAUCUACUUAUUCGUGGGGGAUAACGUAGGGAAAGUUCCGCUAAUACCGAAUAUGACCUACGGGUGAAAUCAGGGGUUCUUGGGAGCUUGCGCGAUUGAAUGAGCCGGUGUCGGAUUAGCUAGUUGGCGGGGUAAAGGACCACCAAGGCGACGAUACGUAGCCGAUCUGAGAGGAUGAUCGGCCACACUGGAACUGAGACACGGUCCAGACUCCUACGGGAGGCAGCAGUAGGGAAUAUUCCGCAAUGGGCGAAAGCCUGAUCCAGCCAUACCGCGUGGGUGAAGAAGGCCUUCGGGUUGUAAAACCCUGUUAUUAGGAAAGAAAAGCUGUGGAUUAAUAUACCGCUGUCUUGACGGUACCUAAUGAGAAAGCACCGGCUAACUUCGUG